CGAACGCUGGCGGCGUGCUUAACACAUGCAAGUCGAACGAUGAAGCCCAGCUUGCUGGGUGGAUUAGUGGCGAACGGGUGAGUAACACGUGAGUAACCUGCCCUUCACUUCGGGAUAACUCCGGGAAACCGGGGCUAAUACUGGAUACGACCAACCUUCGCAUGGGGUGUUGGUGGAAAGCUUUUGUGGUGAAGGAUGGACUCGCGGCCUAUCAGCUUGUUGGUGAGGUAAUGGCUCACCAAGGCGACGACGGGUAGCCGGCCUGAGAGGGCGACCGGCCACACUGGGACUGAGACACGGCCCAGACUCCUACGGGAGGCAGCA
rnacentral:rRNA from 1 species